GACGAACGCUGGCGGCGUGCUUAACACAUGCAAGUCGAACGGCAAGGCCCUGCUUUUUUGGGGUUCUCGAGGGGCGAUCGGGUGCGUAACACGUGAGUAACCUGCCCUUGACUUUGGUAUAACUUCAGGUAACUGGGGCUAAUACCGUAUAGCAGCUCCUUCUGCGUGGUUGGGGUUGGAAAUUUUAGGCGGUUGGGGAUGGAUUCGCGGCUUAUCAGCUUGUUGGUGGGGUAGUGGCUUACCAAGGCUGUGACGGGUAGCCGGCCUGAGAGGGUGACCGGCCACAAUGGGACUGAGAGACGGCCCAGACUCCUACGGGAGGCAGCAGGGGGGAAUAUUGCACAAUGGGAGGAAGCCGGAGACAGCAACGACGCGUGCGGAAUGACGGUCUUUGGGGAGUAAACCGCUGUCGCCUGUGACGAAGCGGGAGUGACGGUAAUGGGUAAAGAAGCACCGGCUAACUACGUG
rnacentral:rRNA from 1 species